GUGCGCCUACGGGACGCAGCAGUGGGGAAUAUUGCACAAUGGGGGAAACCCUGAUGCAGCAACGCCGCGUGAGUGAAGAAGUAUUUCGGUAUGUAAAGCUCUAUCAGCAGGGAAGAAAAUGACGGUACCUGAGUAAGAAGCCCCGGCUAACUACGUGCCAGCAGCCGCGGUAAUACGUAGGGGGCAAGCGUUAUCCGGAUUUACUGGGUGUAAAGGGAGCGUAGACGGCGAUGCAAGUCUGAAGUGAAAGCCCGGGGCUCAACCCCGGGACUGCUUUGGAAACUGUCGAGCUUGAGUGAAGUAGA
rnacentral:rRNA from 1 species